GGGCCCGACCGGUUUUGACAGUAAGCGCAUCAAAUAGGUAAGCAUGUAGAGCGUUGUAAGACGAGCUCUUAAAACUGAACUUUCAAAUUUUUAUUCGGCGAAGAGAAUUCUUACGCUAUGGCUGCUUAAUCUAAGAUUAACCAACCUUUGCAUCCCAGGGAGCUAAACUGCUCUGCGCCUUGGAUCAUGCAUCAUAAAUGUGUAGUUUGUUUUGGUAAUGCUAUUAACUAAAACAAUAUUAGUAGCUAAGUUGAAGCUUGGUUUGAAUUAUUACCUGGCUUCGAUCGAAAACUAAAUUAGUUCUAAACGUGUAGAAAGCUUAUUUUUUCCUUAUUUGGACGAGAGUUCGAAUCUCUCCGGGUCCAC
rnacentral:tmRNA from 1 species